GAGUCUUGCUCUGUCGCCCAGGCUGGAGUGCAGUGGCGCAAUCUCGGCUCACUGCAACCUCCACCUCCUGGGUUCAAGCGAUUCUCCUGCCUCAGCUGCCUGAGUAGCUUCAAGCGCUCGCCAUUACACCUAGCUAAUUUUUUUGUAUUUUUAGUAGAGAUGGGGUUUCACCGUGUUGGCCAGGCUGGUCUUGAUAAGGUUAUAGCUUAUCAAUGGAUGGAAACUGAUUUCAUUUCUAUUUUAAGUAUGAAGAGACUGGAUCCCAGAGAUGUUGUCAUUUGUAAUACAGAGAUGUAUACAAGAUCAGGCAGAGGAGCUAGAGAGCACAUACACACAUACACCCCAAUCCAAAAAAUACCACAGUGAGGUAGUAUAAGGAAAAAGACUGAACUGGGAAUAGAAAGGGAUUCUAAUCCUAGUUUUGCCAUUUGCUAGUUGUGAAACUUUAAUAACAUCUUGGGCCUGUUUCUACGGCAAGUAAGAAUAUGUGCUCCUGUAGCCAAAUCAAGUGAAUGAACUUGGGUGAGUUACUUAACCUCUCUGUGACUAUUUACUCAUCUGUAAUGUGUUAAUAAUAAUUCAUUAAUAAUUCAUUCAUUUCAAAUAGCAAAAUUCUUGACAAUCUUAUGAUUUCAGCAAACAAGAUUAUCUUUUUUUUAGUGAGAGUAGCAAGACAAAGGUGGGCAUGUCAUUGGUAAGGAAACAAUAAACAUUUAAAGAGAGUGAUUACUGAGGCAGGAAAAUAGGGCCUGGAGGCAGGGAACAUAACAGCUGGUUCACACUUCAGGUAUAGCAGGAAAUAUCUUCUCCAUAGGACUUACACCUUAAAUGACUGUAACUUUACUUCAUCCUCUCCAUUUACAUAGGGCGAACCCGAAGUAACCAAUUGAAUCCUCUAGGGGGUAUUUAAACUCCCAAAAAUUUUGUAACGGUGUCUUUGAGUUCCUAUGCUCGGCCCCCUCCCACACUGUGGAGUGUACUUUCACUUUCAAUAAAUCCCUUUGUCUCUUCCUUGCUUUGUUUGUGCGAUUUGUUCAAUUCUUUGUUCAAGAUGCCGAGAACCUGGACUCCCUCCACCUUUAACAAUUAUGACACUUUACAGCUGCUACAGUAUGAUUUUGGUAGAAAUAUUGCUUGAUGUUAACUUUGCAGCAGCCUGUCAGUGUCAUUGAGUCUGGUUAAUAGCAGGGCUGAUUUUUGCCUUCUCAAAUGCGAUAAAACAUGUAAAGUACUUAGAAGAGAGCCUGACAUACAGUGUGUGCUUAAUUGGCUAUUUUUAUUGUGGAAUAAAGGUGUCUGAUUUUUCUGGGACCCUGUGAUUUUUAAUUAGUGGUUUAAUGUUUGUGUGUUAUAAAAGAGAUAAUGAGAACCUGUUUUUGUCCUUUGCUUACUAGAGAUCUGUCAAUGAUGUAAUGCAGAGGAACUUUACAGCAUACAAAUUACUCACGUUAUACCCUAGUCACAGUGGAAGUGUCACAUAGAUCGGACUCUCCAGCCACCAUGCCUACACCUCCCAAUUAGGAUCUCAGGCCUGUGCUAGCCACGCCCCAAACCCUAAAUCUCUCCAGCCGCAGACAACCCUGGGAAAUGUAGUCUGCGGACAAGAGCCAGCCGGCCCACAGCCAAGCCAUGCAAGCGCAGUUCUCUUCGGACAGAGCCACUGUCUCAAGACUCUGCCCUUCUUCAAGAGAAGAGCCCAGAAGAAGAGAGAAUGACUGCUAGGCCCUUGAUGGCUGGAUUCAGGCUUUUUCAGUCCUUCCAUUUGGCGGGUCCCAAGUUUUUGGCCCAUGAUUGGUCCAUGUCCAGGAAGAAUGAGGUAUGUGGACAACUGGAGGGUGAGCAAGGUGGAGAGGAGCUUCAUUGAGUGACAGAACAGCUCUCAGGAGACCCAAAGUGGGUGGCUUCUUUCCGCAGACAGGUUGUCUACAUGAGUGUCCAGCUGUCAGCAGAGAGGAGAUCUGCAGUGGGUAGCUCGUUUCCGCAGGCAGGUCCUCCCGAUGUCUGUUUGAAUCUGACUGAGUCUGAGGUUUUUAUGAGCUCAGAAGGGAGGAAGUGCAUGCCGAUUGGUCCAUGGGUGGCCACGGGUGGCUGGAAAAAGCGCCAGAAGUUCUCACUUAAGGCCAGGCUGUGGACUGCAGCCAGAACUGACAGCCCAGCUCCCAUGCAUUAGGCCAUCCCUGGCUUGAAAGUGGGGCUUCAAAGGGGACCCACCCCUUUCCACCCAGGAGCCUGUCUGCCCCCUGCCACCAUCAAUUAUGUCCUCCAUGGUGCCCAGGCUGUUCGUGCUGGGCCUGAAGGCCCACACUGAGCCACCCUCAACCUGGCUCCAGCCUCCUUCCCAUGCUCUUCAGUGCCCAAAGUCCGGAGCGGGGAAAGCUGGCAGGGGAUGGCAUGUCAGCACUGCCCUGAGCACACCUGGUCAGGUCGUGACUGCACCCAGGCUCAGCCUCAACUUUGCUGUAAAAUCAGAGUGGAUGCCAGGACCAGGGAGAUGCCAAGCAGUGGGAGCAGGCACUUUGGAGCCUGUGGAGGACAGGGCUUCCAGGGCCCACAAGAGCACAGGGAUACCCAGGUCCACAGCCACAGCUGGGCAGCUGCAGCUGUUCCUGGAAGAGUGGGGUUCCUACCCCGCCAACUUUCAUGUUGAAUUAUAAUCCCCAGUGUUGGAGGAGGGGCCUGGUAGGAGGUGAUAGAUCAUGGGGGCAGAUAUCCACCUUGCUGUUCUUUUGACAGUGAGUGAGUUCUCACAAGAUCUGGUUGUUUAAAAGUGUGUGGCACCUCCCCUUUCUCUCUCUCUUCCUCCUUCUCCAGCCAGGUAAGGCAUGCCUGCUUCCCCUUCACCUUCCACCAUGAUUGUAAGUUUUCUGAGGCCUCCCCAGGUGUGCUUCCUGUACAGCCUGUGGAAUGAGACAGGGUUUCACCACCUUGCCCAGGCUGGACUCAAGUGAUCUGCCCGCCUUGGCCUCCCAAAGUGCUGGGAUUACAGUUACCAAAGACGUUGGAAGAGGUGGCUAUGGACAUCACCUGGGAGAAGUGGAAGCAAAUGGACCCUGUUCAGAAAUCCAUAUACAGGAACAUGUUGGAAAAAUAUAGAAACCUGGUUUUGCUAGGUAAAAUUGAUCCAGUUCACUGUCUUUUAUGAAAUCAUCUCUUCAUGAUGUGCAUGACAGUGUAAAGCUCUGAUUCAUCUAAUCUUCUAAGAACUCCAUAGAUGGGAAGCUUGAACCUGGGACCAAGACGUCAAGAGUAGAGCAGCAGGACAUUUCAAAAGAAGAUUAAUCUCAAGGAUUAGAGAUGGAAGAAUUUUCAAAGAGAAAGUCUGUACCAGAAGAAAUCUGGAAAUCUAGAGGCCAAUUUAAGAAUCAGCCGCUAAACAAGGAGAAUAAUCUAGGGCAAGAGAUAGCUACCUGCACAAAAAUUCCUACCAGAAAAAGAGAUAUAGAAUCUAAUGAAUUUGUGAAAAAUUUUACUGUAAGAUCAAUACUUGUUACAGAGCAAAGAGAUCCUAUGGAAGAGAAUUGUCAUAAAUAUGGUACAUGUUGAAAGAUGCUCAAACAAAACUCAGAUUUAAUUAUACAAAGAAAGUAUGAUGAAAAAAAACCUUGUAAAUAUAGUAAAUGUGGGAGAACCUUCAGGGGCCAUGUCACUCUUGUUCAGCACCAAAGAACUCAUUGUGGAGAGAAACCCUAUGAAUGUACUGAGUGUGGAAAGGGAUUUAAUCAGACUUCCCACUUAAGAAAUCAUCAGAAAACUCUUUCAAGAGAAAAGCCCUACAAAUGCAGUGAGUGUGGGAAGGCCUUCAGUUAUUGCUGAGUUCUUACUCAACAUCAGAGAAUUCACAAUGGAGAGAGACCUUAUGAGUGUACUGAAUGUGGCAAGACAUUCUGUCGUAGGACAUGCCUUACUCAGCAUUAAAGAAUUCACACUGGUGAGAAGCCCUAUACAUGUCUUGAAUGUGGAAAGGCUUUUAGUCAGAACACACAUCUUACUCUACAUCAGAGAAUCCAUACUGGAGAGAAACCUUUUGAAUGCAAUGAAUGUGGUAGGUCCUUUAGUCAGAGUGCACAUCUUACUCAACAUCAAGGAAUGCAUACAGGAGAAAAAUCCUAUCAAUGUAAUGAAUGUGAGAAAGCCUUCCAUGAUCACUCAGCUCUUAUUCAACGUCAUCUUGUCCAUACUGCAGAGAAACCCUAUGAAUGUCAUGACUUGGGAAAGCUUUCAGUUACUGUUCAGACCUCAUUCAACAUCAGAGAAUGCACACUGGAGAGAAACCAUACAAAUGCAAUGAAUGUGGGAAUGCCUUUAGUGAUUGUUCAGCCCUUAUUCAGCACCAAAGAACUCACACUGGAGAAAAGCCUUAUGAAUGUAAGCAAUGUGGAAAAGCCUUUAGCAGAAGCACAUCCUUACGCAACAUCAGGGAAGUCAUGCAGGAGAGAAACCAUAUAAAUGCAAUGAAUGUGAGAAAACUUUCAGCCUGAGUUCAUUCCUUACACAGCAUAUGAGGAUUCAGACUGGAGAAAAAUCCUACAAAUGUAAUGACUGUGGAAAAGCUUUUAGUGACUGCUCAGGACAUUUUCAGAGAACUCACACUGGAGAGAAGCCCUGUGAAUGUAAUGACUGUGGGAAACCUUUCAGUUUCUGUUCAGCCCUAAUUCAACAUAAGAGAAUUCAUACCAGAAAGAAGCCCUAUAAAUGCACUGACUGUGGAACAGCCUUCAGUGAUUGGUUAGCACUUGUUCAACAUCAGAUAACUCACACUGAAGAAAAGCCGUAUAAAUGUACUGAAUGUGGAAAAGCCUUCAGUCGGAGUACAGACCUCAAAAAUCACCAGAAAACUCAUACUAGUGAAAAAUCCUAUAAAUGUAAUGAAUGUAGAAAGGCCUUUAGUUACUGCUCUGGUCUUAUUCAACGUCAGGUCAUUCAUACUGUAGAAAAACCUUAUGAAUGCAGUAAAUGUGGCAAAGCCUUUAGGCAGAGGAAAGAUCUUAAAAAACAUCAGAAAAUGCAUACCGAAGAGAAACCCUAUGAAUGUAAUGAAUGUGGAAAAGCCUUUUAGCCAGAGCACAUAUCUUACAAAACACCAAAAAAUUCAUAGUGAAGAGAAAUCAAAUAUACAUACUGAGUGUGGGGAAACCAUUAAACAAAACUCUUCUUUUUUACAACAAUAAAAACCUCACACUGGAGAGGUUCUCUGAAUGCCUUAAGAAUUUGGUUAAUAUGGAGACCCUUCCCGGGGAAAGAGAAGGAAGGUCAUGGAAACUGUUGACCACUUAGAAUGAUCACAUGGUUUAGUGGAGAGAGCAUGAUUCUGGGUUUUAAAAGUCGUGGAUCUCAAUCUCAGCUCCUAUUACUAACUAGAUCUUUUACUUUGGGGUAAGUCACUUCAUAUCUUUAGGCCUUAAUUUCCUCAUCUGAAAAACUGGAAUGCCUGAUUUGUUGAACUUUAAGAUCCUCAAUUAUUAUAUUUACUAGGAAUUCAAGUUUCUAUAGAUGUGGUUCAGAAUUGUGACUUACUUAUUGUACAUCAGGUGUGAUUCACAAGUGAGCUUGUAGUAGUUAUUAAGAAGUCAAUAAAGAUAU